rnacentral:lncRNA from 10 species
ACCAACCUAUUGAGCUCUUCAUUGAACACAUCCUUACUCUCUUACCUCCUUUAUCAAAAAACUGUUCUUCCUUAAGUAUCAUAAUCCACCUAGGCUCAUGUCAUCCCGCCGUAACUAUGUUCCACCACUAAUCCAUGUGUCCUCAAAUAUGUUACGUCCCUCUCUAUUCUUUCAGCCAAGAUUCUUUGCAAAAGAGCAUAUACAUGGUUUUUACACUUUUUAUUAUUCACUUUAAUCUGAUUUCUGCUGUUACAGACUUUAAAUCUGACAGAGUUUUCCAAUAACUCAUCUUUUACCAAAUUGAAUGGGACUACCGCUUAUAAAACUUUGAUGCUGAAUUUGAUUCUAUUUAUCUCUCUCUCCUUUAAAUUGUUUCCUAACUUGUCUCUGUGAGACCAGUUCCUGUAAGUUUUCCCUUUCUUAAAUAGGGAAGGGUGACUUUUCUCCAUGGGAAGAAGAAAUCGGGGAGAAGGCAAUGCUAGGCUGGGAAAUAAUAAAGGACUCUUGGAAAGAAGAAGUUAGAAGAUAAGUUUCAACAUCCCCAACAAUCUCCCCGGCCAAACCCCCUAUUUUGUGCCAAUUAAAUGGAUACCAAUAACUGUGAAAUCCCUGGUAAAACUACCACAUUUUUCUGAAAAGGAAAGGAAAUCUUGUAGUUCAAAUAGUUCCCAGCAGAGUGGAUUCUUUCAGCUCCCACCCACAGGCCUAGCUACCAGCCAGCUGCCAUAUGCAAACUGUCUUCAUAAUGCAACGAGGCUGAGCUGGGAAUAUCACCCUCACCAGUGGUUGGAAAGGCUCCUGUAUAGCUUCAUACCCAAGGGCUAAAAUAUAGAGAAAAAUUAAGUUCUUCAGCGUGAGUUUCAGCAACACUAACAAAUGGCCACUUCAUGGAGUCCAGUCUAUCCAGUGUUUUGGGUUCCAGGAGUUCUCUCUCUCUGCUAGGUCCUUGGACUCUAUCAGGCCUCUCAUACUGUAUCCAAGACAGCUGGCUGGCACCUGCAUUCCUCUCUCAUUCCUACCCAGCUCUGCUUCUUUGGACUCAGCCCUAUUUUGAGUAUUCCAUGGUUCAUCUCAAAAAGAGAUUAUCCAGGGCAUAUCUCUGACAUCCAGUUGCCAUUUCUGUCUCUGCUCUGCCCUCCUGAAUCAAACUUUUGUUUUCUUCCUCAAACCUUGAGGCUCUGCCACUUGAUAUAAAUCUUGUGGCUACACUUUCUUAGGAUCAAACAUUUCUGCUUUUAAAUACUUUUACAUUCAAUAUUUAAAAUGUAAGUGAUGGCUAUUCUUAAUAAUUCUACCUGCUAGUCCAUCUGGAUAGUAAGAAACUAAAACUUGUACUUUUCAUGGGAAUAAUAUAUGAAUGCAAAGGAGACUCAUUUCAAGUGUUUUCAUGAUUUAGUUGUAAUUAAAAUACACCUGAUUUUACUCAAAACAUAUAUAACAAGAUUAAUCAUUUUUUUUUUUUUUUUUUUUUUGAGAUGGAGUCUCACUCUGUCACCCAGGCUGGAGUAUAGUUGCGUGAUCUUGGCUUACUGCAACCUCUGCCUCUUGGGUUCAAGCAAUUCUCCUGCCUCAGCCUCCCAAAUAGCUGGGAUUACAGGCAUGCACCACCAUGACUGGCUAAUUUUUGUAUUUUUAGUAGAGAUGGGGUUUCACUAUGUUGUCCAGGCUGGUCUCGAACUCCUGACCUCAAGUUAUCCACUCACCUCGGCCUCCCAAAGUGCUGGGAUUACAGGCAUGAGCCACUUCACCUGGCCUGAUUAAUCAUCAUUUUUAAUUAAAAGAUUAUUUGCAAAAUGUUUAUACAGCUUCUUUGAAAAUUUAUAGUCUCAUAAAAUUCAACUCUCAUAAUGAAGUUUAUUUGAAGCCUUUGUGUAAUAUAAAUCUAGCUAUCUAUGCAGAUUAUGAUGCAGAAAGAUCUCUUUCUUUCCAUGUAGCAAAUUGGCAGUGGUGAAUUCAUACCCCAGGAAACUACUCUACAAUGUUGUCUCUGCAUACUUGUUGCCAGGCACUGAUCUCCUCUGGGGCAUUAUGUUUCUUAAGUAUCUUCUUAUGCCCUGGACCUAGCACACUGCCUGGCACAUGGGAGGAGCCAAGUUCAUGUUGGCCAAUUUGCUCUCAUUAAAUUAACUUCAGAAUAUUCUUACUAAAGAGGCCGCAAAAGGGUCCCAUUUCUAUCCCUUCUGUUACUCUAAUGUCAUGCAAAUGAGGCUUGAAGUAAUGCUUCUGACGAAGGGCGGACUUCUUGGGCCUUCUCUGAUGCUGUCUGACCUGUAUUCAGAUCUUCAUUGUACCAGUCUUGGGUCAUGUGAAAUUAGCUUCCCUGAAAAUAAGCUUUUGCAUUUGCAAGGUAGACUACCCAUACCUACAUUCAGGGAGUUCUGAGGGUUAAAGAAAAUCAUGUAGCUGGGAGUGAAUAACAGUUAUUAGCUACCUACUAUGAGUCUGGAGUGGUUUCACUCAGCUACGAAUCUGCUAGGACACUACUUAUUCUCAGUGGGGCUGCACUUCACAUAGUUUUCUCAUGGUGAUGUGAAGUCUCAUUGAAUAGAAGCUAUGAGGUUAAUUUCAAGACAACUGGCUAGGUGCAUUCCAGCUGCUUAGCUAAUCAUAUCAUCAUUACCUGCCUUUAACACCCAUUCUGUUCUAUUUCCUAUGGUACAAUGUCCUUGUGGUUCUUCCUCUGAAAUAUGCCUUAUAUCCCAACUCUUCUAUUUUCAUUGCCGCCAUACCUAUAGGCUUUAGAACCCAAGAUAAAUCACUGCAAUAAUUUCUUAACUAUUUCUUCAACUCCUGUAUUUCUGUCUCGUCUCUCCAUUUCUAUAUACACCUGCUGGAUUUAUCUUCCUGAAUCCUCCCCUCUCAACCUUGCAUCAGUUAGAAUUGUGAUAAAAAAACAGGAUUUCAAAGAGUAUUUCCAACUAGCCUCAAAAAGCAAAACAAAAUAAAAGCUAAAACUUACUUUUCCUUUAACAUUUUUUAAUGCAAUGAUUUUGAAGAUAGUAGAAUAGAUGUCUUUUGGAAUAUAGGCUAUUACACCAAUGUGGCACUUUUAGCUUUAUGCAGAAUUCACUAGAUAGCGUUAUUAUUUUUACUUUUUAACUGAGGUCAUUAAAAAUUUCACCACAUUCGUUGGCAAAAAUAAAAAUAAAAAAAUUUCACCACAAAUAAGCAUUCAGAAACACUAAAAUAUAUAUCUCCUUUAAUAGGUGUUUGGAGCCAAAAGCAAUCUCUAAAACCAAGCCCCAAUGAGUAGUUGAGGACAUGAGAGUAAAGGCAGGAUAAGGAAUGGAAAUAAUUUCUUCCAUUAACUCUACUAAACUAGACUCUUUGCUGUCUUUCUCCCCACUCACCUCUCUAACCUAAUGAAAUGUCCCGUUGCACUAUUCACUCAUUGCUACUGGGGAGAGUUUCAGUCCUCACAACCCUGAUCACACCCAUCCUGCAUAGCUCAUUACUUGGACUGGGAUAACAAAAUACAGAGUGGCCAUGUACACCAGAUCAUGGGUUUUGAACUCAAGAAGCUCUGCAUUAGAAGUCUCAGGUCUAUUGCGUAACCGUCUGACAAACUCAGACAAGUUUUAAAAAAUAUUGGUGUUAAAAAUGUCUGGGACAUUAUAGUUCCUGAUAUAUCACAGUUGCUCAAUGAUUGGUGGUUACAUUUUUUUUUUUUCAAGACGGAGUCUUGCUCUGUUGCCCAGGCUGGAGU